UUAUCUUGAAAAAGCUAAACCAAAACCAAAGUACUCGCGAAUAUUUGGGAACUGCCACUUUCCUUUCUCAGGCGUCAAGAAAAUGCAUCGCCCGCAGGGUGACCUGCUGGGCGAUGCAAGUUCCCAUUCCCGGCUACUAAUGGUGCCUUUGCCUGCCCUCUUUUCUUCUCUCAUUCCUCCAUUAUUCAGCCCAUCCCUCUCAUUUCUGAUUCCCAUAUUCCUAUUCCCAUUCCAGUUUCCAUUAUUCGCCUUCGCCCUUUUAUUCCAUUCCUCUCUUCUCCUUCAAGCCUCAAUCCGUCCCUCAUAAAUACUAGUCACCCAACUCACAAAACCCAGCUAGAUUUUCACCUCAGAUACCAUUUCUUGAAGUCCUAUUUGAUAUUCAAGAAAAUAAACAAAGAAAAGAUAAAGAAAGAUACAGUUUUUAAUUAUUAUUAUUUUUUAUUUCCCAUCCCUUGUGGAUUCUAGUCACCCAACAUAAACCCGGCUAGAUUUUAACCCCAGAUAACAUUUCCUGAACUCCCAUUUGAUAUUCAAGAUAAUAAAGAAAGAAAAGGUAUAGAAAGAUACAGUUUUUUUUUUUAGCUUUUUCUUCUUGGGGAAUGACUAAUUUGGAAGUUUGGCUCAAGAAUUUAGUAGCGAACUCAUUAGAAUCAAAACAAGUACAGUAUUUAGCUGAAGCCCACGAUUUUUCGCUGCAUUUGAAUGGUUUUAUCGGUGGAGGAUUAUUUUUGGAACCUUCGAUUCCGUCAUCAUUUGUUUCAUUAGUGAAUCCGAACAAUUCGUCGAAUUCUCUUAGUCUGGUCGGAGUUUCAUGUAGUGGUGAUAGGAGGAGUAGGAGGAGGAGUCGCCGGAGAGGGAUCGUUGCUUGUGGCGGCAGCGGAAGCGGGAGGUUUUUGUCAGUGACGCUUUCGACUGUAAAGGGAGGUGAAGGUGGAGAAGGGAUUGGUGAGGUGUUGUUGCAAGAUGCAGGCAAGAGUGUGGAGUGUGAAACGCCGGCGUUUGAAGAAGGUGAGAAGAAAAAAGAAGGCGAAUCUAAGGUGAGAGAAGUAAAAGGAAAGGCUUUGAAUACUGUUAAGCAUCUUUGGGCUGGUGCUGUGGCUGCUAUGGUUUCUAGAACUUUUGUGGCACCACUUGAGAGACUAAAGCUGGAAUACAUAGUUCGUGGUGAACAGAAAAAUCUAUUUGAGCUGAUCAAAACUAUUGCUGCCACUCAAGGGCUGAAAGGAUUCUGGAAAGGAAAUUUUGUUAACAUCUUGCGGACAGCUCCCUUUAAGGCUGUCAACUUUUAUGCUUAUGAUACUUACAGAAAUCAGUUGCUUAGAAUGUCUGGUAAUGAGGAGACAACACAUUUUGAAAGGUUUGUUGCUGGUGCUGCUGCUGGAAUCACUGCUACUGUGCUCUGCAUACCUAUGGACACUAUCAGGACUGUAAUGGUAGCUCCUGGAGGGGAAGCCUUGGGCGGUGUAAUUGGUGCUUUUCGUCACAUGGUCCAGACUGAGGGGUUUUUUUCUCUUUACAAGGGAUUACUUCCAUCCAUCGUAAGCAUGGCUCCUUCAGGCGCUGUUUUCUAUGGAGUUUAUGACAUAUUAAAAUCUGCUUAUCUGCAUUCACCAGAAGGUCGGAAACGGCUUCAACAUAUGAAACAACAAGGUGAAGAAUUGAAUGCUUUAGAACAACUGGAGUUGGGUCCUGUGAGGACACUAAUAUAUGGGGCGAUUGCUGGUGCUUGUUCUGAAGCUGCUACAUACCCUUUUGAAGUAGUUAGAAGACAGCUUCAGAUGCAAGUUCGAGCUACAAAAAUGAGUGCUUUGGGAACUUGCAUGAAGAUAGUAGAGCAAGGUGGUAUUCCUGCACUUUAUGCGGGGCUGAUUCCUAGCUUGCUACAGGAAGAUUCUAGAUUUUCUGAUUGAAUGUUGAUAAACUGAGGCAGUGCAUCAUCCAUGCAGUCAAGUUGAUUCCCCAACUUGAUUGUGCUUGACUUUUGAAACACCCAGGUUCUGCCAUCAGCAGCGAUAAGCUAUUUUGUUUAUGAGUUCAUGAAGAUAGUUCUCGAGGUGGAGUAAACGUAAAAGUUAAUCCUCCUAAUAAUAAUCUUGCGGAAGUUGAUGCUGAUUGCUGGCUAGAGCCCAUAUCUUUCAUAAAGGCCCUGGAUCAUGAUACUUCUUGUGCUCUUAUUAGUUAGGUGGAGGAAAGACUUCCAAAUUUAUACACUUCUAUCAAACACACAGCUACAGGGGCGUUUUCAUUUGUCUGCCUUUGUAUCUUUCAUUUUACAUUUGUCAAGGUGGGAAAAAAGAGGGAUGCUAUCUUCCUCAUUUGUGUUAGUGGACAUUGUGCAUUUUUGGCUGAAGAUUUGGAUUUCACUAGACUGAAUGAUGCAUCCUGGAGCUAAAAUGACCUGUAUUACCUGUCUUUCACUUCCUGGUAAAUUCAGGAGUUAUACCAUGCCUUAAUGUCUAUUGUCGUUAA